rnacentral:lncRNA from 1 species
CGCUUAUUUACAACAGGUACCCUUUCUUCUCCUGUCAAGGUGUUUAUAUCCAGUUUAUUAGGGUUUCGACAUCUGUGUCGUUUUUGUUUCGGCUUCUGAAAUGAGGAAAACAGCACAUCUGCACUCUUUGGUACAUAACUUGGCAUAUCUACAGUGUAAGUAGGAUGCAAUUUAAGCCAUUCAACUAAAUCCUUGUUUUUGGGAGCAUCUUCUCCC